AUGUUGUCUAGGCAAAUCUGGCGACUCAUCCAGUUCCUUGACUCCCUUUGUGCUAGGAUUUUGCAAGCCCGUUAUUACCCGGGUAGGCACAUUCUUGAUGCGGAACAAAGAGAUGGUAUAUCAUACUCAUGGCGUAGCCUUCUGCAUGGGCAAAAACUUUUCAAGGAGGGCUAUGUGUGGCGAAUUGGUGAUGGCAUGAACGUCAAGAUCAGGUCAGAUCCUUGGAUUCCCCGGCCUUGGUCGAGGAGGGUCAUUACCCCGAGAGGACAAAAGCUGUUAGAGCGGGUCUGCGAUCUGAUUAACCCCGCUACCGGCUCCUGGGACGAACAGCUAGUACGAGGUACUUUCUGGCUCGACGAUGUGAAACACAUUCUCCAGAUUCCGCUGAGAGAAGGAGUCCAAGAUUUCAUUGCCUGGCAGUAUGACACACGGGGUCUACAUUCGGUGAAAAGCGCAUACAAACUCAAUGUUCAGUUCGAGGAGGAUCGAAGGAAUGGGGGACAAGGGAGGAUCUCGGCCGUGCCAGGUAACCUGGAGCGUACCAAUGAUGAUUCCUGGAAGAGGCUCUGGAAAUUGUCGUGUCCCAGGAACAUCCAAAUGUUCGCCUAGCGGCUAAAACAUGAAUCACUCGCCCUCCGCACAAAUGUCGCACGUAAGGGCAUCCCCAUCCAGGAUACAAAAUGCCUUUUCUGUGGACGAGCUAACGAGGACGGAGCUCACCUUUUUAUCAAGUGCAAAACUGUCAAGGAGGGGUGGAGGGAGUUGGCCAUGGAGAAAGAACGCAUAGCUCUUGAAGGGAUUACGUCUGUGCAUGCUAUGUUCGAUUUUCUAUGGGGCCUAGAUGCAAAAAAACGCCUGCAUGUCCUCACCUAUUGGUGGCAUUGGUGGUCCAAUAAGAACAAACUACGAGAAGGACAAGUGGCACUGUCGCCUGCGGAGGUAGCCCGGUGUACGAGAAGCGAUGUCUUGGAGUACAUGGAUAUCUUCUCGGCCGCUCCAAAGAAGCCUCCAGGAAACAAGUGGCGGCCGCCUGAGGAGACAGUGUACAAAGUAAAUGUUGAUGGCUCCUUCAUACCCGAAGAAACACAUGCUGGGUGGGGCGUGGUGGUUAGAUCCAGUGAUGGCUCCCUUGGUUGUGCAAGAGCUGGAAGACAAGAGCAUGUCAACGAUGCCUCUGCAGCUGGGAUCUUUGCUAUGUCUCAUGCAAUCAACACGGCAGUCGAACUUGGAUUGGUUGGGGUCCAGUUUGAAACAGACUCACAACUUGUCUCUGAAGCCUCGAUGUGCGAAGAGCUGAUUCCUCCGCCUAUGCUGCUGUCAUUGAGGAUAUGA
rnacentral:rRNA from 1 species